UUAUUUAAUGGCCGCAGUAUUUUGACUGUGCAAAGGUAGCAUAAUCAUUAGUCUAUUAAUUGUGGACUUGUAUGAAUGGUUGGACGAGAUAUUAUCUGUCUCUAUUUAAUUAUUAGAAUUUAAAUUUUAAGUUAAAAUGCUUAAAUUUACUUAUUGGACGAGAAGACCCUAUUGAUCUUUAUUAUAAUUGAUUUAUUUAUUUUUAGUUUAUAUUUAUAAUUAAUUUAAUUGUUGUUUUGUUGGGGUGACAAGGAGAUAUAUUUAACUCUUUAUUUUUAUUUUCAUUUAUUUAUGUUUAUUUGACCUUUUAUUAUUGUUAUAAGAUAUAGAUACCUUAGGGAUAACAGCGUAAUUUUCUUUGAGAGUUCUUAUUGACGAGAAAGAUUGCGACCUCGAUGUUGGAUUAAGAUUAUAAUCAGGUGUAGAUGCUUGAUAUUAUAGGUCUGUUCGACCUUUAAAUUCUUACAUGAUCUGAGUCA
rnacentral:rRNA from 1 species